rnacentral:rRNA from 1 species
AUUGAACGCUGGCGGCAUGCCUUACACAUGCAAGUCGAACGGCAGCACGGGUGCUUGCACCUGGUGGCGAGUGGCGAACGGGUGAGUAAUACAUCGGAACAUGUCCUGUAGUGGGGGAUAGCCCGGCGAAAGCCGGAUUAAUACCGCAUACGAUCUACGGAUGAAAGCGGGGGACCUUCGGGCCUCGCGCUAUAGGGUUGGCCGAUGGCUGAUUAGCUAGUUGGUGGGGUAAAGGCCUACCAAGGCGACGAUCAGUAGCUGGUCUGAGAGGACGACCAGCCACACUGGGACUGAGACACGGCCCAGACUCCUACGGGAGGCAGCAGUGGGGAAUUUUGGACAAUGGGCGAAAGCCUGAUCCAGCAAUGCCGCGUGUGUGAAGAAGGCCUUCGGGUUGUAAAGCACUUUUGUCCGGAAAGAAAUCCUUGGCUCUAAUACAGUCGGGGGAUGACGGUACCGGAAGAAUAAGCACCGGCUAACUACGUGCCAGCAGCCGCGGUAAUACGUAGGGUGCGAGCGUUAAUCGGAAUUACUGGGCGUAAAGCGUGCGCAGGCGGUUUGCUAAGACCGAUGUGAAAUCCCCGGGCUCAACCUGGGAACUGCAUUGGUGACUGGCAGGCUAGAGUAUGGCAGAGGGGGGUAGAAUUCCACGUGUAGCAGUGAAAUGCGUAGAGAUGUGGAGGAAUACCGAUGGCGAAGGCAGCCCCCUGGGCCAAUACUGACGCUCAUGCACGAAAGCGUGGGGAGCAAACAGGAUUAGAUACCCUGGUAGUCCACGCCCUAAACGAUGUCAACUAGUUGUUGGGGAUUCAUUUCCUUAGUAACGUAGCUAACGCGUGAAGUUGACCGCCUGGGGAGUACGGUCGCAAGAUUAAAACUCAAAGGAAUUGACGGGGACCCGCACAAGCGGUGGAUGAUGUGGAUUAAUUCGAUGCAACGCGAAAAACCUUACCUACCCUUGACAUGGUCGGAAUCCCGCUGAGAGGUGGGAGUGCUCGAAAGAGAACCGGCGCACAGGUGCUGCAUGGCUGUCGUCAGCUCGUGUCGUGAGAUGUUGGGUUAAGUCCCGCAACGAGCGCAACCCUUGUCCUUAGUUGCUACGCAAGAGCACUCUAAGGAGACUGCCGGUGACAAACCGGAGGAAGGUGGGGAUGACGUCAAGUCCUCAUGGCCCUUAUGGGUAGGGCUUCACACGUCAUACAAUGGUCGGAACAGAGGGUUGCCAACCCGCGAGGGGGAGCUAAUCCCAGAAAACCGAUCGUAGUCCGGAUUGCACUCUGCAACUCGAGUGCAUGAAGCUGGAAUCGCUAGUAAUCGCGGAUCAGCAUGCCGCGGUGGAUACGUUCCCGGGUCU